rnacentral:rRNA from 1 species
ACAUGCAGUCGAGCGAGCUUGCCUAGAUGAUUUUAGUGCUUGCACUAAAUGAAACUAGAUACAAGCGAGCGGCGGACGGGUGAGUAACACGUGGGUAACCUGCCCAAGAGACUGGGAUAACACCUGGAAACAGAUGCUAAUACCGGAUAACAAUACUAGACGCAUGUCUAGAGUUUGAAAGAUGGUUCUGCUAUCACUCUUGGAUGGACCUGCGGUGCAUUAGCUAGUUGGUAAGGUAACGGCUUACCAAGGCAAUGAUGCAUAGCCGAGUUGAGAGACUGAUCGGCCACAUUGGGACUGAGACACGGCCCAAACUCCUACGGGAGGCAGCAGUAGGGAAUCUUCCACAAUGGACGAAAGUCUGAUGGAGCAACGCCGCGUGAGUGAAGAAGGGUUUCGGCUCGUAAAGCUCUGUUGGUAGUGAAGAAAGAUAGAGGUAGUAACUGGCCUUUAUUUGACGGUAAUUACUUAGAAAGUCACGGCUAACUACGUGCCAGCAGCCGCGGUAAUACGUAGGUGGCAAGCGUUGUCCGGAUUUAUUGGGCGUAAAGCGAGUGCAGGCGGUUCAAUAAGUCUGAUGUGAAAGCCUUCGGCUCAACCGGAGAAUUGCAUCAGAAACUGUUGAACUUGAGUGCAGAAGAGGAGAGUGGAACUCCAUGUGUAGCGGUGGAAUGCGUAGAUAUAUGGAAGAACACCAGUGGCGAAGGCGGCUCUCUGGUCUGCAACUGACGCUGAGGCUCGAAAGCAUGGGUAGCGAACAGGAUUAGAUACCCUGGUAGUCCAUGCCGUAAACGAUGAGUGCUAAGUGUUGGGAGGUUUCCGCCUCUCAGUGCUGCAGCUAACGCAUUAAGCACUCCGCCUGGGGAGUACGACCGCAAGGUUGAAACUCAAAGGAAUUGACGGGGGCCCGCACAAGCGGUGGAGCAUGUGGUUUAAUUCGAAGCAACGCGAAGAACCUUACCAGGUCUUGACAUCCAGUGCAA